CCUACGGUGGGCAGCAGUGGGGAAUAUUGGACAAUGGGCGAAAGCCUGAUCCAGCCAUGCCGCGUGUGUGAAGAAGGCCUUCGGGUUGUAAAGCACUUUCAGUGGGGAAGAAAGCCUUGGGGCUAAUACCCUCGAGGAAGGACAUCACCCACAGAAGAAGCACCGGCUAACUCCGUGCCAGCAGCCGCGGUAAUACGGAGGGUGCGAGCGUUAAUCGGAAUUACUGGGCGUAAAGCGCGCGUAGGCGGUCUGAUAAGCCGGUUGUGAAAGCCCCGGGCUCAACCUGGGAACGGCAUCCGGAACUGUCAGGCUAGAGUGCAGGAGAGGAACGUAGAAUUCCCGGUGUAGCGGUGAAAUGCGUAGAGAUCGGGAGGAAUACCAGUGGCGAAGGCGGCCUUCUGGACUGACACUGACGCUGAGGUGCGAAAGCGUGGGUAGCAAACAGGAUUAGAUACCCUGGUAGUC
rnacentral:rRNA from 1 species